rnacentral:tRNA from 1 species
CAAAAGAUAGUUUAAACAAAACACUGGCUUUGGAUGCCAGCAACAGGUCGCCACCUUCUUUUGA